rnacentral:rRNA from 1 species
AUUGAAAGCUGGCGGCAGGCCUAACACAUGCAAGUCGCACGAGUGGCGGACGGGUGAGUAAUGUCUGGGAAACUGCCUGAUGAGGGGGGAUAACUAAUGGAAACGGUAGAUAAUACCGCCUACCCUACGAUGUGACAAGAUGGGAUUAGCUUGGUGGGGUGGUAACGGCUCCCCAAGGCGACGAUCCCUAGCUGGUCUGAGAGGAUGACCAGCCACAUUGGAACUGAUACCAGGUCCAGACUCCUACGGGAGGCAGCAGUGGGGAAUAUUGCACAAUGGGCGCAAGCCUGAUGCAGCCAUGCCGCGUGUAUGAAGAAGGCCGUCGGGUUGUAAAGUACUUUCAGCGGGGAGGCGUUACCCGCAGAAGAAGCACCGGCUAACGCCGUGCCAGCAGCCGCGGUAAUUC